UCCAUUUUUCUUCUUCUUUUUUGCUUAUAAAUAUCUUCCUCAUUUCUUUUUACGUAUUAGUUACUUAAAAUAUAGGGAAAUUGCUAUAAUUGCUAUUAGAAAAAGUCAAUAUGUUUGUCAUUUGUGUUAAUGAUCCUUCCAUCGCAUAUUAGUUUUACCCCAUAGAUCAAGUCUCAAUACUUGAGAAUCAUGAUUCCAUGUUGAAGUCAUUUCUUUUAAAUACUAGACAAUAGCUAGAGAAUAUCAUAGCACUAUAACCUCAACAUAAGUAGAGCUGGCCUGCGCAAUAUGAUGGGGAGUAGAUGGACAUGGGCAGUGAAGAUGCGUUUUGUAAUGUGUACAACAUUCUAAGUUUAUAAUUAUUUGAUAAUUUAAUAUAUAUCUUGUAAACCCCAAGGAGUAGCACAAUCAGUUGGGGACCACGCCUCAUGAAGCGAAAACUAUAGUUUGAAUCUCUAUCCCUCUUCUCUCAGGCUUAGGGUCAAAGCAUACUUCAAUUUUUUUUAAUCCUUAUUCUUGUAAUUAUUUAACCUGUUUUAGGAAAAAAAAAAAAAAAAAAAAAAAAUAUAUAUAUAUAUAUAUAUAUAAAAGUAGAAAUUCUGGACAUAAAUAUUCCAGUAAGACAGUUUUAACACGCCAAGGAGCUCUCACUCAAAUGGUAUGCCUUUCCCUUGUAAAGAAUAAGGUAGAAGAUGAGGUCUUAAUUUCAAGACCUACAAGGUGUGUGUGUAACUUAGCGAAAGAGAAAGAAGUUUGACACAAAUUUUCAGUACUGUCAUUAAGAGCAUCCACAAUAGUGGUGCUAAAAAGCUAUUUUUAGCACCACUAUAUACAAAAAGGGCACUACAAUAGCGGUGCUAUAGGUAAAUAUUUUACCUACCUUGCGACAGUGCACAGCUAUAUAUGGCUGUGCACUGUAGCUGAAAGAUUAAAAAAAAUGAUUUUUUAUUCCUAUCUCCUAUUAAAAUAUUUUUUUGUUUGUUUGUUUGUUUGUUUGUUUGUUAUUUUUU